CGCUGGUGAAAAGUGUCCUCUGCAGAAAGGUUCCACUGGUGAAAAGUGUCCUCUGCAGAAAGGUUCCGCUGGGGGGGGGGGGGGAUGGUGCAGGUUAUGUUUGAUAAGCACCCUUUGAGAUGAGGACUACUGUGACUUAUUUUUCAAUGAAAUAAUGGAAUCACAUAACAAUGACAGGAAGAAAGGGGCAAAAAGCUUACAGACUGUGGCACCUACUGUUCAGUCAAGAGGGAGAAGUGGGGAGGCUGACUCUCCAAGGCUGCCUCCCCCACACCAGGGCUGCCGGCCUCUGCUGUGUUCCUUUGAUCUUCCCUCCUAUCUUCCCUAUCUGGCAGGAUCUGUUUAGCAGGAGACAGCUAACAUCAGGCAUCUCUGUGAGCAGCUUCCGCUGUGGGAUGCCGAAGGUAUUUGUUGGAGCACACAGCCACACCCCGCUGUCCUCCACAGGACACCGACACCUGCAGCAAGGCUGGAGGCUCCUGAGCAGCCUCCUUUCCAGCAGUGACCUGGCUAGACACCAGCGAGUCUUGGUCUGGGGACCAGAGACAACUUCACAACUCCCAGUAAGCUGAGCCCUUCAUUAGUGCGUAACUGGCUUUGUGGACCAUAAUGCAGGGGUUCCGGCUUUGCUGAACAGCGUGUCACAGAAGCGCUUGGACUGAGAGUCUCUGCCAACUGCCAUGUUGCUGUUGCCCUGCCCAGGAGAGCCAGAAGCUUUGCCACCAUGGAGAGAUUCACACACCACACCCUCCUGCCUGCCUGUGUGUGGCCAAAGAUACUAGAACUUACUUUUUUGUUGUUGUUUUGUUGUUGUUAUUGGUGGUGGUGGUUUUAGACAAGGCAUUACUCUAUACCCCAGGUUUGCCUCAAACUCAAGGGCAUCCUCCGGCCUCUGCCUCCUGAGUGCUGAGACUAUGGCUGAGUGACCGUGCCUGAGUCAAUACCAAGACUUUUCAUCUCUCUACACACUGUGCUUAGCCAUCUGAUAGUCUCCGUGCUUGGGAAACAUUCUUUUAAAGAAAACAAAAACAAAUUUAAAAGCAAA